AAUCCGUGAUGAGGGCAUUUGGUUUGAUAACCCUUAAAGCGCUCCCAAGCUUCACAAAAGCUUUUAUUUUGCUUUUGAGUGCACUACAAGAAAUAUUGGUAUUGAUAGC
rnacentral:snoRNA from 1 species